rnacentral:lncRNA from 1 species
UUUAUUUAAUUCCAUUAUUUUUGUUUGAUAAAUAUCAUCUCUAUGUACAACUCAAAUAAUAAAUUACAAAUUAUACAAUAUGCAUGUAUGCCAAGGAUUUCUACUAAAUGUAUUUGUGAUACUGUACAUUUUUAACUGGCUCAAAAUAAAAUUAAAAAAAAAGUAACAAUAAUUCAUAACACAUUUCCUUAUUUUUAUAAGAAACUUUGAGAUAUCACAAAGCUAAUAAAAAAUGUUGAAGAAAUUUAUUCAAAUUGAAUUGGUAUAUUUAAGUAAAACCGGCAAAAUGCACAAACUAUAUCUAUUAUGAAAACUGAAAAAUAGGUCAAGAGAAAAAGAGAGAGAGAAAUACCAAUAGGACAACAUCAGAUUAUACAUUACACAUCCGUGACAAAUAUUUGAAGGUCUACUAACAUGCAUUUAAUGUUACAAGUUACACAUCUAAGGAAAGAUUUAUGUGAUUCUCCUGCUUUUUUUCUACACUGAUGCAUAGAGAUAAAUGUCUAAUUGCAAUUGUCAUGGCAUUUUGACACAAACUUUAAUUUUGAUACUGACCAAGGUAGUGAUAUUAAAACCUUAAAGUUUGAUACUGACCAAGGUAGUGAAAUUAAAACCUAUGUAUAUAACAUUGAAGAGAUUUUCAAUUACAUGUAUAUAAUGUAGUUUUUUUUCUUAAACUGAGCAUCCAUCAAAUAUAAAUGAAUUGAUAUUUAUGAAGACAAAAAUGUGAAGAACAUCGAAAUGCCCCUCCCCCUCCCCCCUUCUUUCACAGUAUGUUUUAUUCAAUCUUUCAGAUAAGUAUAGGGAUGUAGGUUUUGGAGUUUUCAGAACUGUUCUUAAACAUCCAGAAAUUCAACCCUGGAAUGCUUUACCAUUCAAGACAUAACCUCCUUUAUAAGUUCUUGAAUCUACCACUAGAUAUACUGAAAAGUAUUUCCUGUCGUGGAUCCUUCCUUAAACUCUCAUUUUCUAUUUCUGUCACCCCUGAUGCAAAUAUUUGUCCACUAAAACAAUUUACUUUUCAAUCCUAACACAAUGUGUAUAUAUACUUCAUAGUAAUUAGAAAUGGGAAGUUGAAUAAAUACUUUACACGUAUAUAUCAUAUAUCUAUCAUUGUUAGACAAUCCAUCAUAUAUCUAAAUGAAAUAUAUAUUUUCAAAUACAACAUACUUACACUCACUCCAUUGAUAACAAGAACUAUUAUAGUGAGCUAAUAAAAAUGUAAUAAACAUAAAAUUACUACAAAAACUAUGUCAAAGCAAGAUUCUCUAUUUAUAAAUUUUCCAGAGGAUACUUAUAGAUUAUCAUUGAUCAUCUCAAUAAAAAUUGAUUUUCUCGUUUGAGAUGGUACAGCGAAUUUGAGAUAAGCUUUCGAGUUGAGAUGACCAUUGAUAAUCUGUUAAUUGCUAUUUUACCUAUGAAGACGUUGUUAAUUUCAUUGAUGAUGGGCAUGUGUGCCCUUAGUUUCUAGCAAUAUUUUUUCAUAUCACUAUACUGUAAUGAGAAAGGAAAUUAUCAGUCAAAGGAAAAAUUCGUAAAAUAGUGAUAAUGGAAUUUAUAACAUGGUUUAAAUUUAAAUGAAAACAUAUUAAUUUACUUUGACUCCAUUUUAUUCUUUCUACAGACAUUCUACAUUCUGUGCACUUAAGAAUUUGGUAAAUGAUUUUGACUCUAAAAAUUGAUUUCUAAACUUUUUUUAAGAGUAAGACAAGUGGGGUAAAUGGAAUUUUCUAUUAUUGGUUUCACCCUAAAAAUGUAUGAAAUAUUAACCUCUGGAUGGUCAGCAAAACAACAAACAAUCAAAAUAUUAUGUUAUCUGAUAUUGUUUCAAUCUAAAUACAUAUUGCACAAGGAUUAAAUUCUUAUUGCAUAACAGUUAAUAUGAGGUGACAAAGAAAAGAAUGUUUCUUUAAAUAGAUCCCUUUUAGCAUUUACAGUAAAUAUAAAGUAAAAUAUAACAAUGUGAAAUAUUCUGUAAACCAGAAAGCUCCAGUUUAAAGGACCCUACACAUGUUACAGAAAACAGGAAUCUAAAUUGGAUGAAACAUAAACAUUUUACUGUGAUUUUUUUCUCUCAUUUGGCCCCUUCAUAGCUCUAAAAAAAUUUAAAUCUUCCAAAAAAUUUAAUGGUGCCAAAAAAUAUUUUUUUGUGAGACAAAAUGCAUUCAAAUUGAGCUAAACAUUAAAAAAGUUGACAUUUUUUGUGUAAUAACCUGAACAUGAUUCAAUAUAUCUUUAGUAAUUCAAUUGAGAUAAUAUAAAUACAAAUUAUAAUAGAAAUUAAAACUGCAUCAAAAUCUGAAGAAAAAAAUAAAAGGCAUAUAUUGAAACUUAUGAGAAAAUAUAUCUAAGUGGCUACUGACUCAUUUUUCAGAAAGAGGACAAAAUCAAUAUUAUUUGUUUUGUGCCAACGUACUGGCUCACUGUGUGAAAAUCUCAUAUAAAGUUGGUCAACUAAAACUAUUGCGGACAAAGCUUUGAGUUUAAAGAAAAAUGGUGAUGUUGACCUUAUCAGGAACAAAAGAUUAACCUUUACAAUACUGUAAAUACAGAAAUAUUGCGAUGUUUUCAUUAUUGCAAAAAAUGCAACAGGGUAAUAAUCACAAUCAUUUAAACCUUGCAUUUUGAAAUUUUUUAUAUGAAAUAAACAGGAUUUUUUUCAAUAUCGCAAAAAUUUAAAUUGCAUUUUAGACUAAAAUGACAAAAAUCGCAAAAGUAA